GGGGGGGGCGGGGGGCGGGCCUGGGGCGGGCGGGUCGGGCGAGGGGGCGCGACGCUUGCUUCUCUGGUGUUGGCGGCGGACGGGUGCGUCCCCCGUGGCUACCCUCCCUAUACGCCUGUGAUAACUUCGGUACACCGGCGCUCCUCCCGGAUGCUCUUUUGCCCCUCAUUGUUCACACGUGCCAGCCGGUCUUGCUGUCCCUUCUCGCUUGCUCCCCGCUGCAUUAGCUAGUUCGUAAGGUAACGGCUUACCAAGUCAACGAUGCAUCGCCGACCUGAGAGGGUGAUCGGCCACACUGGAACUGAGACACGGUCCAGACUCCGACGGGAGGCAGCAGUAGGGAAUCUUCCGCAAUGGGCGAAAGCCUGACGGAGAAACGCCGCGUGAGUGAUGAAGGUCGUCGGAUCGUAAAACUCUGUUAUUAGGGAAGAACAUAUGUGUAAGUAACUGUGCACAUCUUGACGGUACCUAAUCAGAAAGCCACGGCUAACUACGUG
rnacentral:rRNA from 1 species